CCUACGGGAGGCAGCAGUGGGGAAUAUUACACAAUGGGGGAAACCCUGAUGCAGCGACGCCGCGUGAGUGAAGAAGUAUUUCGGUACGUAAAGCUCUAUCAGCAGGGAAGAAAAUGACGGUACCUGACUAAGAAGCCCCGGCUAACUACGUGCCAGCAGCCGCGGUAAUACGUAGGGGGCAAGCGUUAUCCGGAUUUACUGGGUGUAAAGGGAGCGUAGACGGCAGCGCAAGUCUGGAGUGAAAUCCCAUGGCUUAACCAUGGAACUGCUUUUGAAACUGUGCAGCUAGAGUGCAGGAGAGGAAGGCGGAAUUCCUAGUGUAGCGGUGAAAUGCGUAGAUAUUAGGAGGAACACCAGUGGCGAAGGCGGCUUACUGGACUGUAACUGACGUUGAGGCACGAAAGCGUGGGGAGCAAACAGGAUUAGAUACCCCAGUAGUC
rnacentral:rRNA from 1 species